rnacentral:rRNA from 1 species
UGGGGAAUAUUGCACAAUGGGCGCAAGCCUGAUGCAGCCAUGCCGCGUGUGUGAAGAAGGCCUUCGGGUUGUAAAGCACUUUCAGCGGGGAGGAAGGCGAUAAGGUUAAUAACCUCAUCGAUUGACGUUACCGCCAGAAGAAGCACCGGCUAACUCCGUGCCAGCAGCCGCGGUAAUACGGAGGGUGCAAGCGUUAAUCGGAAUUACUGGGCGUAAAGCGCACGCAGGCGGUUGAUUGAGUCAGAUGUGAAAUCCCCGGGCUUAACCCGGGAAUUGCAUCUGAUACUGGUCAGCUAGAGUCUUGUAGAGGGGGGUAGAAUUCCAUGUGUAGCGGUGAAAUGCGUAGAGAUGUGGAGGAAUACCGGUGGCGAAGGCGGCCCCCUGGACAAAGACUGACGCUCAGGUGCGAAAGCGUGGGGAGCAAACAGG